CAUACCAAUUGCAAAAGUAGACUACCCAAAGUUUUGCAAGUGGGUUAUGUCUUUUGUAGUAGCCACUUAGUCAAACACUGGCCAGAGUUAGCAUUCAAAUUUGUUUUUGUGUGAAAAAAAGCAAAAAACAAAUAUUUGGCCAGUGUUUGUGAAUAAGUGGCUACUAAAAAUGACUGUACAUACCCCAUUUGCAAUACCUUGGGUUGUCUACUUUUGCAAAUGGUAUG
rnacentral:miRNA from 1 species